rnacentral:rRNA from 1 species
GGGGCAUAUUGCGCAAUGGGGGAAACCCUGACGCAGCAACGCCGCGUGCGGGAUGAAGGCCUUCGGGUUGUAAACCGCUUUCAGCAGGGACGUAGGGUUUCUGACGGUACCUGCAGAAGAAGCACCGGCUAACUACGUGCCAGCAGCCGCGGUAAUACGUAGGGUGCGAGCGUUAAUCGGAAUUACUGGGCGUAAAGCGUGCGCAGGCGGUUUCGUAAGACAGACGUGAAAUCCCCGGGCUCAACCUGGGAACUGCGUUUGUGACUGCGAGGCUAGAGUACGGCAGAGGGCGAUGGAAUUCCGCGUGUAGCAGUGAAAUGCGUAGAUAUGCGGAGGAACACCGAUGGCGAAGGCAAUCCCCUGGGCCUGCACUGACGCUCAGGCACGAAAGCGUGGGGAGCAAACA